UACCAGCUCUCCGAGUUGUAGGGAUGAUUAUUGGGCUUAAAGCGUCCGUAGCUGGCUUAGCAAGUCUCCUGUUAAAUUCAGCGACCUAAUCGUUGAGCCGCGGGAGAUACUACUAGGCUAGGAGGCGGGAGAGGUCGACGGUACUUUCGGGGUAGGGGUGAAAUCCUAUAAUCCCGGGAGGACCACCAGUGGCGAAGGCUGUCGACUAGAACGCGCUCGACGGUGAGGGACGAAAGCUGGGGGAGCGAGCCGGAUUAGAUACCCGGGUAGUCCCAGCUGUAAACUAUGCGGGCUAGGUGUUGGGGUGGCUACGGGCCACUCCAGUGCCGCAGGAAAGCCAUUAAGCCCGCCGCCUGGGGAGUACGGCCGCAAGGCUGAAACUUAAAGGAAUUGGCGGGGGAGCACCACAAGGCGUGAAGCUUGCGGUUC
rnacentral:rRNA from 1 species